rnacentral:tRNA from 1 species
GCGGAUAUAGUCGAAUGGUAAAUUCUCUUUGCCAAGGAAAGACGCGGGUUCGAUCCCGCUAUCCGCC